rnacentral:rRNA from 1 species
AUUCCAGCUCCAAUAGCGUAUAUUAAUGUUGUUGCAGUUAAAAAGCUCGUAGUUGGAUUUCUGCGUCGCGCAGGUCGGUCCGCCGCAUCGCGGUGCGACUGUACUGGAGCGUCGCAUCCUUGUGGAGACUGUUUCGGCCAUUAAUUUGGUUCGUUUCAGGAACCGCAUCGUUUACUGUGAAAAAAUUAGAGUGUUCAAAGCAGGCUUAUGCCGUGAAUACAUUAGCAUGGAAUAAUAAUCUAGGACUUCGGUUCUAUCUUGUUGGUUUCUAGUACUGAAGUAAUGAUUGAUAGGGAUAGUUGGGGGUGCUAGUAUUGAGCGGCCAGAGGUGAAAUUCUUGGAUUCGCUCAAGACUAACUUAUGCGAAAGCAUUCACCAAGGAUGUCUUCAUCG